AGAGCCAAGCCCCAAGUUUUCCCUGGAAGUCAAAGGACCUGCUUAGAGGGCUGGAUUAACAUCAUACCCAGGACAAAGCAUUUGCAGGUUAAGGGUCUUGCUCAAGGGCCCAACAGAGGAAUUCAUGGGAUUCAAAUCAGCAACCUUCCAUUUCCUGGCACAGAGCCACCAAUCCACCCACAAAAGGUGAGUUUCAUAAGAAAACAUUAUGGGAUGGUCUGAAGUUCUGCACCUGAUUACCACCUCAAAACAAAAAAAACCCUUUCAAAAAUAUGUUUGUUGUUGCUUGCGAAUGCAUACAUCAAAGUUGUUUGAAAGUCUAUAAGCAUCUACCCAGGUGAAGAAGAUGUCAAAUUUAUGACUAUAUUUCACUGUCAGAAAAAAGGAUAUACGUCAGAAUCGGUACCUGUCCAGCCCUGUUCCUUCUGGCCAUCCCGUUUGGAAUUACCCUAGUGUGUUUUCCUGCUCCCCCGGCCGCUGCACGGCUUAACAGGUUAAGCAGUCGGCCAUCAGUCCAGACUCCCCCUUCAUUGUGAUUCCGAGGUUGGCCAGAGGCCAGCCUCAACUAGUUUGACAUCAGUGUCAUAAUGUGUUCUCAUGUUUCCUUUGUGUAUUUCAGUUACUGUUCCUUGUUUUGUUCCUACUUUUAGGUUCCCUUGAUGUUUUGAACCUUCUGUUAAUUGACCCCACCUGUAAAUUGUUUUAACCACACCUAAUUUGUUAUAGCAUACACCUACCCUUGUUAUCUAUGUGUAUAUGCAGUAUGUACCUGUCCCUGCCUUGUUUCUGUAGUCAGUCAUUGUGGUUGUUACUAUGUGUUAGUUCCUGCAUCUUUUGGUGUUAUGUUCCUUCCUCAGUCCUCUCAUAUCAUAGUUGUAAUUUUUGUGUUCAUUGUCUUUGUGGUCCGUUUAUUUCCUGGUUCUCCCUUUGUGUUCUGUCAUGGUAAAUAAGCCCCUUUGUUGAGACCUGCAAUGUGGAGCAUCUAUCCUUCGUGAUGCGCCGCCAUGACAGGUACAGCCUGGGUUCAAUUUUUCUCCCCAAGGUACAAACAACAUUAAUGUGCCCCCAAUGGUACAAAAACGUUCCUCAGAGUCUAUUUCGGAGCCUUAAACUAAAAUGUACAUUUACCUACAGCUGUGUUGUGGUUGUUUGGUUUACAUUACUGUAAUGGUUCAUUUAAUACACUUAGAUUGAAUGCAUUUAAUACACUUUGAUUGCAAUGAAUAAUAACUAGGCGUGGCACUGAGACACAGCUGGUGUUUGUUACUGCAGCCUUUACUCCCCCUGCUCUGCAUAAGGUUUGUAUGUCAGCAUCAUGAACGUUUAAUAAUAAGUUUUUCUUUCAUAUAUUUUUUCCCAUAUUAGCUAAAUCAUUGUCCUCAACUUACAAAAGGUGAAAGAAAAAGGAAGAAAUGAUUUACUUCCAUGGGAAGUAAAUUGGGUUUUGAGGAAACAAAGUCUAAACAAGUUUGGAUGUGAACCGUCUGAUAUGGUAGGUGUGUAAGUGAGAAAGCGGAGUAUAUAACCUGCCACUGGACCGUUAGAACAACUUACUGACGCGUCCCUGGCUGGCAGCACAGCUUCUGGAUCAUUGUAAGCAAGCGUCAGCAUCACUGAGUGGAAGGACGUCACCCCUACCACCAGGACAAUGUACCUGAUUCACGCUCUGCUUGUCUUGAUGUCCACCAGUGCACAGCCAACAGCAGGGCAAGAACCAGCAAUGACAACCAUGGAAACCAUGGAAACCAUGGAAAUCUUUGUCACUUCCAAUCUUGGAAUCACCGAAACUGCAGAGUCAGCAACCGCCAUGUUACUGUCAAUACAAAGUGCUGCCACUGAAACAUCUGAAACAGCUGCAACCAACACAUCCAUGUCUAUGACAACAGCCAGACCUACUCUACAAACGGAAACUUCAACCACGUCACCUGUGACUGAUGCAUCUUCAUCAGCAGUCACCGUGAGCACAGCAUCCAUGGCAGCGUCCAAGACAAACAGCGGCUGCCCAGCUAGCAAGAAAUUCAUGCUGAUAAGCUCCAUAAUUCCUGUUUUGCUUCAUACCCUGUUAAGCUGAGUAUGUCAUAUGCAUAAGAGCAGUAAUAGCAGAAACCUGGGAAGAGUGCAAAUCCUAGGUUUUAUGGAGAGGAUGAACUGAAACCAAACAUGGACAAUGCAUGUGGCAAUUAUUCUACAGUUAUACUCCAACAUUACAUUACUCUGAUAUUCUACUCAGGCAUUACAUUACAUAUUUCUUCAUGUCAAGAACUAAAAAUUAAAAGCAAAUAGUAUCAAUGCAUAUCUACCUAUACAGUUGGAUAAAAUAUUUUUGAAAAUAUAUAGAUGGCUUUCAAUACUGAAAAGCAUAUAUCCUUUUUAAAAUACAAUUUUAUUCCUUUGCUCUUGUCAUCCAGGUUUGUACUUUUUUUCUAAUGAUUAAAAUAAAAUGACUAAGAAUUAAACCCCAAAAUGCAGGAAAUAAAAGAUUUCCCAACACCGUUA